AUCGCUUCUCGGCCUUUUGGCUAAGAUCAAGUGUAGUAUCUAUUUAAUUCACAAAAUUGUAUCUCCUUUUAAUGAUGUGAAAUAUACAACAGUUUUAUAGUUUUCACAUAAUAGGGCUAAUAUUG
ensembl:snRNA LOC120100334 U2 spliceosomal RNA